GUGCGUAGGCGGGCUGGUGCGUCUGCGGUGAAAUCUUUGGGCUUAACCCCAAAACUGCCAUUGAUACUAUCUGUCUUGAAUAUUGUGGAGGUUUGCGGAAUAUGUCAUGUAGCGGUGAAAUGCUUAGAUAUGACAUAGGAACACCUAUGGCGAAGGCGGUUCUCUACGGCAUAUAUUGACGCUGAGGCACGAAAGCGUGGGGAUCAAACAGGAUUAGAUACCCUGGUAGUCCACGCUGUAAACGAUGGAUGCUAGCCGUUGGGGACCUUGCUCUUCUCUGGCCCACCUCACACUUUAUACAUCCCCCCUGGGGAGUACGGUCGCACGAUGAAAACUCUCAGGAAUUGACGGGGGCCCGCACAAGCGGUGGAGAACGUGUUUUAUUUCUAAACACCGCGCAAAAACUUACCACCGUUUGACAUGGCAGGACAACUGGCAGAGAUACCUGUCUUCCCUUCGGGGACCUGCACACAGGUGCAGCAUGGCUGUCGUCACCUCCUGUCAUGAGAUGGUGUGUUAAGUCCCGCAACGAGCGCCCCCGUCUCCUUUAGUU
rnacentral:rRNA from 1 species